UACGAAGGACCCGAGCGUUAUCCGGAUUUAUUGGGUUUAAAGGGUGCGUAGGCGGAUUUGUAAGUCAGUGGUGAAAGCCUAUAGCUUAACUAUAGAAUUGCCAUUGAUACUGUAGGUCUUGAGUACAGUUGAGGUGGGCGGAAUGUGCAGUGUAGCGGUGAAAUGCUUAGAUAUUGCACAGAACACCAAUUGCGAAGGCAGCUCGCUAAGCUGUAACUGACGCUGAGGCACGAAAGUGUGGGUAGCAAACAGG
rnacentral:rRNA from 1 species